UAGCACCUAAAGGAAUUCAAUCAAGGGGAACCUAAUCAAUGCUUCACACCAAGAAGUGUUCCAACUGACCAAGCAUCUAGCCCUGUCUAUUCAGCAAAGACAGCAAGGGCCAGUGCUCUGGGCCCUGUGCCCAGGGGGCUCUAUUCCACAGUAGUCCUGCUGUCUCAUUCCCCUGGCACCAUCCUCACUUCCUCAGCAUGAAGCUCAUUCUCCAUCUCUUCAUCAUACUUGCAUUUCUAAUCCAGAGGAAUCCAGGUAACUUUUUCCCCAGAAGAUGCUGGGAUUCUCAAGGUCACUGCAGAAUCAGAUGCAAGAGUAAAGAAGAGAUGAAAAUGCUGUGUUCAGAUUUUAAACGAUGCUGUGUCCAUCCAAUUCAUGAUAUAAAUGAUGAAGCCUAUGAUACUAGGAAACCUACAAGUUUGAAUACUUUACCAGCCUUCCCAAUAUUUCGAUCAACUACCACUACAACAAGAAGAACAAUACCUGCCUUUACACGAGUCGUGUUAUAUUAGAAGGGCCUGAGCCCAUUUCAAUCACUUAACCUCUGCCAUUUGUCCCUACUGGAUUGAAUGAGAAAUAGAGGGUUUGAGGGUUUUCUACUUUUAAACAGUGACUUGCUCCUUAUGUUCUGAAUCAAUUAAAGAAAGCAUUUGAA